rfam:Oryza punctata chromosome 7, whole genome shotgun sequence.
UUUUAGCGCAGUUAUGACUUUCCGUGUUCAACUUUAGUCAUCCGUCUUAUUUAAUUUUUUUAUGAUUAGUAUUUUUUUAUUGUUAUUAGUUGAUAAAACAUGAAUAAUAUUUUACGUGUGACUUAUGUCUUUUUAAUUUUUUUCAAAAAAAUUUCAAAUAAGACAAAGGAUUAAAGUUGGAUACCGAAACUCAUGGCUGCGUUUAAA